AUGGAGAGCGCGGCGACCGUCGCAGAGAAGUCAGACGCCCUCCUCGAGUCGAAGACCUUCCGCCUGAUCCUGCUGAGGCGAAGCAGAAUCCGGCGGGAAGGAAGCCUCGCGGCGGCGCUGGCCCAGAGCAUGGCGCUGGCUGUGAUCGGCACCGCGGGCGCUUAUCCCAGUUGGGUCCUGGUGCAAGAUGAGACCAGGCAGUUCGUCCUGGGGGCGGCCUGGGCCGUCAGUCAGACCGACCCCGCUCCGGGCACACCCUUGCUGGGCUCGUCCGGGGGCCUCCUCAUGCUAGCCAUCGCCUUCUGCUGCCUCUUCAGCGUGCUGAGCGGCUCGCUGGCGUUGACGAUGGAUUUCUUGGGGCGGCGGCAGUACCGGUCGCUGGCCCCGCUCUUUCACGGGCUGACCGCCAUCCUGAUCGCUUGCGCGGCGGCGCUGGGCUCCUGCCUCUUAGCUCUGGUGCGCGGGCGGAGCCACCUGGAGGCGGGCAAGUUAUCCACCAGCCCCGGCCAGAGCCUCUUCUUGGCUUGCCUGGCUUGCGCUUUGGCCUCCACCGCCACGGGCUUGAGCUGCAUGUCUCCAGCCCUGGUACAGCCGGCGCGCUCCUCGUGGGACUUUGGGAGACCCGGCGUGACCAGCUUCUUCCAGAGCUCCGAACAUUUUACCGAUACCUCGGUGACGACUGUCUCUUGGCCGGACGAGGAGCGUCGGCACAGGGAGAGUGCCUCGACCAUGGGUGGCCGCUCUGGCAAAGUGCGCUGGUAUAAAAACAGCCAGGGGGAUCCCGAUGCGGACCACACGACGGAGGAUCGUUCACCGCAAGGGCAAGAACAGCUGCCCGUGGUGACCCCAGAGCAAGGGCAGGAGUCAAAACCCCAAGAGAGAAAAAGCUCCAUGCAAAGAUUCUGGGAAUCCGGCCGCUUGCUGGUAGAGAAUUUGGGGGACGCGUUGCAGAGAUCUGCCAGAGAACCUGCAGAAACUCCAGAAGGAGAAGAUCUGGACAGGGAGCAGCAGGAGGCUGAAACUGAACACGAAGCGCCUUUUGAAGGCCAGGCUCCGAUCGCCGACCAGAACACCAUAGUAUAG
rnacentral:lncRNA from 1 species